UAAAAAGCAGUUUACCCCCUAAACUAUAGCCCGUUUUGCACUUUACCCCCCAAACAAAAAAUUUUUGCACGUUUUUACCUAAACUUCGGUUUUCGUUGCACGGUGCCUUAAAAAGGGAAUAUUCCGGGCAUUUUUGCCGGAAUCCCACACAUGUGCAUUUCACGUGAUUUUUCUAAGGGUAAAACCGUCUCAUCACUUAAAAACUAACCUAGGGCUGUAUUUCCCCCCUUUUCCUCUCCCGUUUGUCCAAUUUUCCCUCCAAAAUUAAGAGCUUCUCCUUCUUCUUUAUACCUG
rnacentral:lncRNA from 1 species